GGCUACGAAGCAUGAGACUGUGUCGGUAUGCAGCUUUGUGUGGAGCCAGCCCGUGGGUUAUGUGAAAACCACAAACCGAAUAGGUUCAAUCAAGCCGAACGAAAACACUUA
rnacentral:sRNA from 1 species